AAACAAGGCAAUGAGUGACACAGUGAAGAGCUUCCUCCCCCAUGAAGGCCUCGUCCCAAUCCAAGUGAAGGGUGGGGGCAUCCUCUUGGGUCAUGCACGUGGGCUGUCACCCCCCUGCCACCCCCCGGCACAGCGCCCACCUGUGUGGUGCUGCCUCUAAGUCCUGGAAGAGAAAGGCCCUGCGGCGGGGCACAGCUCUCCUCGGGCCAGACCCGAAUUCCUCCAGGAUACCGGCUCUAGAGGAGAAGGUUCCCUGCGGGGAACCCUCAGCUGCAGGCAACGUGGACGCCGGGUGACAGCUCCACCACGUCCAUCCGCGGAACGCAUCACAAAGUCAUCCCAAGAUCAUGCCAGGCCCCGGGCCUGCUGCGGGCCCAGGAGGGGCCGAAGGCCGCUGGGCACGGAGGAGGAGCCCAGAGCUGGUUUCGUGGAAGAAAGAGACGCAGAGACCCGGGCGAGCCCCCGCCAGGGGUCAGAGCGGGGCACAGGACCGGCGGGGUGCAGCCCACCCAGCACGGACUCCUCAGGAAGGCUCACCCUUGUGGGCGGAGCCUCCACUCCCGCAGCGUUCAGGCCUCCGGAGUCCUUGCUGGGCCUGCCUGGCCCGUCACUAACACCGGCCCGCUCGGAGCGGAGAGGCCCGGAGGGUGACUUGGUGAGCGGCCCCGCCCCAGGACCCAUCUGUGGGACAAGAUGAAGAGACACGUUCAGGUGCCCUCCGAAACAACGGCCAGACGAGCCGCGACACGGUCUCGCUUCUAGGUCUCACUGUCACAUGGUCAAGUGUGUCUGGAACUCCUGAUCAUGGACAACUCAGUACAUUUCCAGCCUUUCUGGAGACAAACCAGCAUGGCGAGGCAGCCUGGGGACGUGAAGGACUGAUUGCCAGGACGCUGGAUGACAGAGGCGCACGGAGAAUGCACCCUGAACUUCACACUCUGUUUCCAUACAGUAGUCAAUCAAAACGCCCUAGAGAAUAGCUCAGAUGGCAGCCUUUGGCCAUUGGUCAAUCGUAAACCUUUGGAAAUUGGAAUUGAAAGAAAAUUCCCAGUCCACUGAGUGGAUUUAGAAAUUGCUCCGGCCACUUGCUUCUCAUAAGACUUUACUAAGUGUCUACAAAUUAGCAUCAUAAAAAUGAAUCAAAAAGACAAAAACAUUUGGCUUAAAAUAAAUACUAAAAAUGAAAUAAAUCAAGCAAAUUAUGCAAACCAAAGGAAUGUAAACACAAAAAUAAAACCACAAUCUUUAAAGGUCUUCAGAGCUGAAUGGAGAAAAAAAUUCAGAGAAAGGUAUUUAACUGGUUCUAAGGCAGCAGAGAGCAAGGCUGUCUUGAUUUGAGAGAGCGUCAGUCAGGUUGAGCC
rnacentral:lncRNA from 1 species